AAGCUCAAGUAAAUCCUCUUUUCACACUGGUUGCAUGCUUGAUGUAGGCAAGAGGCCACAAGAUUCAAUGACACGCUUGUGUCGAGGCCAGGUGGUGAGCAUAUCCAGUUUUUGCUUCUGGAUCUGUGGUUUUAUUAGGGCACAACUCCUGGGCUGCUGGCAAAGUUGGAAGUCGAAGGGCAGUUCAUACCGUUGCCCAUAUCAAAUCAUUUGGUGUUUUCAAGCAUUUUUGUGACCCCUGGUACUGAAAGGAAGUUGGAAAACUUAACAAAAAUCUUCAAGGACUGGAAUUCUGACAUGCAUGGCUGCCAAGUGCAAUGGGGUGUAACCUUUUCCAUUGUAUUGUAGAGCAAGGUCUUGGUCAACCCUCAAAAACAAUCUUGUUACCUCCAAGUAUCCUCUGCUACAGGCACAAUGCAUUGGAGAAUGUCUUGUUGGUUUUUUGAGCAAAAUUCAGCCACACCACCAAGCUCCAACAUGUUAUGAACAACUUCUGCAUCAUACGCCACGUUUGUUCCAGAGUAAGAAUGAGAUUUGGUUAUUACUGUGAGCCCCAUUGAUGUAGCAACAUGUAGAGCUGUUAAAUCAUCCUCAUCUUCUUAAAAUUCCAUCAACCAAGAUUGAUUCAUCAUGAGCUUGACCACAUCAAAAUGCCCUUCCAUUUUCAUAGUUAAGCUUUGUAGCUAAUCACGGAUUAGUCUAUAAGAGCAGCAUAACCACAUCUGCUUUCCCUUUGUGACAAGCUUUAUGAAAUGGAUCCUCAAGCUUUUUGUUCACAGAUGCAACUCAAUGAUAUCAUUCUCGAAUUUGAAGCACUUGAACCUUGAGACAAGGUGCAGCACGGUAUUCAACUAAUGAUCAGUUCUUUUGUACCAGAAUUCCUUCGUUGUCUUGAACUAAAUUGUCAAAGGCCCCUCUAUAUCAUUGACUCAUUGUUGGCAAUUUCCUCAAAUGCCUUCAAUCCAUUUCCUUUUUCUUAAUUGCCUCUGUUUUCUGAGGCUUAAAAACUCUCGAAAACCCGGAAAAUUAGUACUAAUUCUGUGAUGUGAAAUGCUGUUGAAGAAGCUAUAUUGUGUAAUUCUCCUGUAUACACUCUUUCUAUCAAUCCAUUGUCCAUUGAUGAGCUAUAAUCCUGUAAUACUUGAUUGAGAUUCAGUUUAUAGUCAACUUUAUACUCUCUUCAAGGAAUGUGGAUGUGAAAGUAUCCACAUCUUUGAUUAUUUGUGGAAUUG